CCUUUUGUAUAAUGGGUCAGCGACUUAUAUUCAGUGGCAAGCUUAACCGUAUAGGGUAGGCGUAGCGAAAGCGAGUCUUAAUAGGGCGUUUAGUCGCUGGGUAUAGACCCGAAACCGGGCGAUCUAUCCAUGAGCAGGUUGAAGGUUAGGUAACACUGACUGGAGGACCGAACCCACUCCCGUUGAAAAGGUAGGGGAUGACUUGUGGAUCGGAGUGAAAGGCUAAUCAAGCUCGGAGAUAGCUGGUUCUCCUCGAAAGCUAUUUAGGUAGCGCCUCAUGUAUCACUCUGGGGGGUAGAGCACUGUUUCGGCUAGGGGGUCAUCCCGACUUACCAAACCGAUGCAAACUCCGAAUACCCAGAAGUGCCGAGCAUGGGAGACACACGGCGGGUGCUAACGUCCGUCGUGAAAAGGGAAACAACCCAGACCGCCAGCUAAGGUCCCAAAGUUGUGGUUAAGUGGUAAACGAUGUGGGAAGGCUUAGACAGCUAGGAGGUUGGCUUAGAAGCAGCCAUCCUUUAAAGAAAGCGUAAUAGCUCACUAGUCGAGUCGGCCUGCGCGGAAGAUGUAACGGGGCUCAAACCACACACCGAAGCUGCGGGUGUCACGUAAGUGACGCGGUAGAGGAGCGUUCUGUAAGCCUGUGAAGGUGAGUUGAGAAGCUUGCUGGAGGUAUCAGAAGUGCGAAUGCUGACAUGAGUAACGACAAUGGGUGUGAAAAACACCCACGCCGAAAGACCAAGGGUUCCUGCGCAACGUUAAUCGACGCAGGGUUAGUCGGUUCCUAAGGCGAGGCUGAAAAGCGUAGUCGAUGGGAAACAGGUUAAUAUUCCUGUACUUCUGGUUACUGCGAUGGAGGGACGGAGAAGGCUAGGCCAGCUUGGCGUUGGUUGUCCAAGUUUAAGGUGGUAGGCUGAAAUCUUAGGUAAAUCCGGGGUUUCAAGGCCGAGAGCUGAUGACGAGUCGUCUUUUAGAUGACGAAGUGGUUGAUGCCAUGCUUCCAAGAAAAGCUUCUAAGCUUCAGGUAACCAGGAACCGUACCCCAAACCGACACAGGUGGUCGGGUAGAGAAUACCAAGGCGCUUGAGAGAACUCGGGUGAAGGAACUAGGCAAAAUGGCACCGUAACUUCGGGAGAAGGUGCGCCGGCUAGGGUGAAGGAUUUACUCCGUAAGCUCUGGCUGGUCGAAGAUACCAGGCCGCUGCGACUGUUUAUUAAAAACACAGCACUCUGCAAACACGAAAGUGGACGUAUAGGGUGUGACGCCUGCCCGGUGCCGGAAGGUUAAUUGAUGGGGUUAGCGCAAGCGAAGCUCUUGAUCGAAGCCCCGGUAAACGGCGGCCGUAACUAUAACGGUCCUAAGGUAGCGAAAUUCCUUGUCGGGUAAGUUCCGACCUGCACGAAUGGCGUAACGAUGGCGGCGCUGUCUCCACCCGAGACUCAGUGAAAUUGAAAUCGCUGUGAAGAUGCAGUGUAUCCGCGGCUAGACGGAAAGACCCCGUGAACCUUUACUGUAGCUUUGCACUGGACUUUGAGCCUGCUUGUGUAGGAUAGGUGGGAGGCUUUGAAGCGUGGACGCCAGUUCGCGUGGAGCCAUCCUUGAAAUACCACCCUGGCAUGCUUGAGGUUCUAACUCUGGUCCGUGAUCCGGAUCGAGGACAGUGUAUGGUGGGCAGUUUGACUGGGGCGGUCUCCUCCUAAAGAGUAACGGAGGAGUACGAAGGUGCGCUCAGACCGGUCGGAAAUCGGUCGCAGAGUAUAAAGGCAAAAGCGCGCUUGACUGCGAGACAGACACGUCGAGCAGGUACGAAAGUAGGUCUUAGUGAUCCGGUGGUUCUGUAUGGAAGGGCCAUCGCUCAACGGAUAAAAGGUACUCCGGGGAUAACAGGCUGAUACCGCCCAAGAGUUCAUAUCGACGGCGGUGUUUGGCACCUCGAUGUCGGCUCAUCACAUCCUGGGGCUGAAGCCGGUCCCAAGGGUAUGGCUGUUCGCCAUUUAAAGUGGUACGCGAGCUGGGUUUAGAACGUCGUGAGACAGUUCGGUCCCUAUCUGCCGUGGACGUUUGAGAUUUGAGAGGGGCUGCUCCUAGUACGAGAGGACCGGAGUGGACGAACCUCUGGUGUUCCGGUUGUCACGCCAGUGGCAUUGCCGGGUAGCUAUGUUCGGAAAAGAUAACCGCUGAAAGCAUCUAAGCGGGAAACUUGCCUCAAGAUGAGAUCUCACUGGGAACUUGAUUCCCCUGAAGGGCCGUCGAAGACUACGACGUUGAUAGGCUGGGUGUGUAAGCGUUGUGAGGCGUUGAGCUAACCAGUACUAAUUGCCCGUGAGGCUUGACCAU
rnacentral:rRNA from 1 species